rnacentral:rRNA from 1 species
UACCUGCAGCUCAAGUGGUGAUCAUUAUUAUUGGGCCUAAAACGUCCGUAGCCGGUUUAGUAAAUGCCUGGGUAAAUCGUGUAGCUUAACUAUACGACUUCCGGGUAGACUGCUAAACUUGAGACCGGGAGAAGCUAGAGGUACUCCUGGGGUAGAGGUGAAAUUCUGUAAUCCUAGGGGGACCACCAGUGGCGAAGGCGUCUAGCUAGAACGGGUCUGACGGUGAGGGACGAAGCCCUGGGGCACAAACCGGAUUAGAUACCCGGGUAGUCCAGGGUGUAAACGCUGCUUGCUUGAUGUUAGUUGGGCUCCGAGCCCAACUAGUGUCGGAGAGAAGUUGUUAAGCAAGCUGCCUGGGAAGUACGGUCGCAAGGCUGAAACUUAAAGGAAUUGGCGGGGAGCACAGCAACGGGUGGAGCGUGCGGUUU